AUUGAACGCUGGCGGAAUGCUUUACACAUGCAAGUCGAACGAUGAAGUCUAGCUUGCUAGACGGAUUAGUGGCGAACGGGUGAGUAAUAUAUCGGAACGUAUCCAUUAAUGGGGGAUAACUAGUCGAAAGAUUGGCUAAUACCGCAUACGUCCUACGGGAGAAAGCUGGGGAUCGUAAGACCUGGCGUUAAUGGAGCGGCCGAUAUCUGAUUAGCUAGUUGGUGAGGUAAAGGCUCACCAAGGCGACGAUCAGUAGCUGGUCUGAGAGGACGACCAGCCACACUGGAGCCGAGACACGGUCCAGACUCCUACGGGAGGCAGCAGUGGGGAAUUUUGGACAAUGGGCGAAAGCCUGAUCCAGCCAUUCCGCGUGAGUGAAGAAGGCCUUCGGGUUGUAAAGCUCUUUCGCAAGGGAAGAAAACUUAUCCUCUAACAUAGGGUGAGGUUGACGGUACCUUGAUAAGAAGCACCGGCUAACUACGUGCCAGCAGCCGCCGUAAUAC
rnacentral:rRNA from 1 species